AAAUUGAAGAGUUUGAUCAUGGCUCAGAUUGAACGCUGGCGGCAGGCCUAACACAUGCAAGUCGAACGGUAACAGGAAACAGCUUGCUGUUUCGCUGACGAGUGGCGGACGGGUGAGUAAUGUCUGGGAAGCUGCCUGAUGGAGGGGGAUAACUACUGGAAACGGUAGCUAAUACCGCAUAAUGUCGCAAGACCAAAGAGGGGGACCUUCGGGCCUCUUGCCAUCGGAUGUGCCCAGAUGGGAUUAGCUAGUAGGUGGGGUAACGGCUCACCUAGGCGACGAUCCCUAGCUGGUCUGAGAGGAUGACCAGCCACACUGGAACUGAGACACGGUCCAGACUCCUACGGGAGGCAGCAGUGGGGAAUAUUGCACAAUGGGCGCAAGCCUGAUGCAGCCAUGCCGCGUGUAUGAAGAAGGCCUUCGGGUUGUAAAGUACUUUCAGCGGGGAGGAAGGGAGUAAAGUUAAUACCUUU
rnacentral:rRNA from 1 species